UCAGUCCUUGCGCACGUGCAGCGGGGAAAAUCAUAAUUUUUGUAUUUGUGCUUCCUGCGGCUCGACGGAUACCUAAGCAUGGUGUAUUUCUCUUCUAUCGGAAGGCUGAAGAUCCUGAUAAGUUGUUCCAAUUCCUCCGCUGCUUCCGCUGCCAUUUCUGAUGUUUGUCAUUAUUAUUAAGAGAUAUACAGAUAAAUAGCAUUGCAAAGGAAGACAUUUUUGUUAUCUUUUAUUAAAGAAAAUAUACAAUAUUUUACAAUCUUAACAGAAUCACAUUCAGAAUUUUAUCCGAUGAGAGUAUCAUCAUCUUUCUUGUAACAAUACAUAGCCAGCUUAGAUUCUAAACAUCUUUUUUUUUUCAUUUUAAUUAUAAUACAUACUUGAAUUUACUAUGUAUAUAUACAUAUACCCAUACCUAUACACACUGUAUAUACAUACUCAUUUCACCUACCUAUAUAUCUGUACAUACUAAAAUUCCAAGUAACUACGUGUAAAAUGAGAAUAAAUGUUUUCAAAUGA